rnacentral:siRNA from 1 species
UUACAUAUUCCUAGUCUCUAUU